CCUACGGGAGGCAGCAGUCGGGAAUAUUGCGCAAUGGAGGAAACUCUGACGCAGUGACGCCGCGUAUAGGAAGAAGGUUUUCGGAUUGUAAACUUCUAUCAACAGGGACGAAAGAAAUGACGGUACCUGAAUAAGAAGCCCCGGCUAACUACGUGCCAGCAGCCGCGGUAAUACGUAGGGGGCAAGCGUUAUCCGGAAUUACUGGGUGUAAAGGGUGAGUAGGCGGCAUGGUAAGCCAGAUGUGAAAGCCUUGGGCUUAACCCGAGGAUUGCAUUUGGAACUAUCAAGCUAGAGUACAGGAGAGGAAAGCGGAAUGUCUAGUGUAGCGGUGAAAUGCGUAGAUAUUAGGAAGAACACCAGUGGCGAAGGCGGCUUUCUGGACUGAAACUGACGCUGAGGCACGAAAGCGUGGGGAGCGAACAGGAUUAGAUACCCUGGUAGUC
rnacentral:rRNA from 1 species